UACGAAGGGGGCUAGCGUUGUUCGGAAUUACUGGGCGUAAAGCGUUUGUAGGCGGUUGGACAAGUCAGUGGUGAAAGCCCAGGGCUUAACCCUGGAAUUGCCAUUGAAACUGUUCAGCUAGAGAGUGUUAGAGGAAAGUGGAAUUCCUAGUGUAGGAGUGAAAUGCGUAGAUAUGCGGAGGAACACCGAUGGCGAAGGCAAUCCCCUGGGCCUGUACUGACGCUCAUGCACGAGAGCGUGGGGAGCAAACAGG
rnacentral:rRNA from 1 species